rnacentral:rRNA from 1 species
UGGGGAAUUUUGGACAAUGGGCGAAAGCCUGAUCCAGCAAUGCCGCGUGUGUGAAGAAGGCCUUCGGGUUGUAAAGCACUUUUGUCCGGAAAGAAAUCCUUGGCUCUAAUACAGUCGGGGGAUGACGGUACCGGAAGAAUAAGCACCGGCUAACUACGUGCCAGCAGCCGCGGUAAUACGUAGGGUGCAAGCGUUAAUCGGAAUUACUGGGCGUAAAGCGUGCGCAGGCGGCUUGCUAAGACCGAUGUGAAAUCCCCGGGCUCAACCUGGGAACUGCAUUGGUGACUGGCAGGCUAGAGGUAUGGCAGAGGGGGGUAGAAUUCCACGUGUAGCAGUGAAAUGCGUAGAGAUGUGGAGGAAUACCCGAUGGCGAAGGCAGCCCCCUGGGCAAUACUGACGCUCAUGCACGAAAGCGUGGGGGAGCAAACAGGAUUAGAUACCCUGGUAGUCCACGCCCUAAAGCGAUGUCAACUAGUUGUUGGGGAUUCAUUUCCUUAGUAACGUAGCUAACGCGUGAAGUUGACCGCCUGGGGAGUACGGUCGCAAGAUU